AUGAACGCUAGCUACAGGCUUAACACAUGCAAGUCGAGGGGCAGCAUGGUCUUAGCUUGCUAAGGCCGAUGGCGACCGGCGCACGGGUGAGUAACGCGUAUCCAACCUGCCUUACACUCUUGGACAGCCUUCUGAAAGGGAGAUUAAUACAAGAUGUUAUCAUGAGUAAGCAUUUUCGCAUGAUUAAAGGUUUACCGGUGUAAGAUGGGGAUGCGUUCCAUUAGAUAGUAGGCGGGGUAACGGCCCACCUAGUCUUCGAUGGAUAGGGGUUCUGAGAGGAAGGUCCCCCACAUUGGAACUGAGACACGGUCCAAACUCCUACGGGAGGCAGCAGUGAGGAAUAUUGGUCAAUGGACGAGAGUCUGAACCAGCCAAGUAGCGUGAAGGAUGAAGGUUCUAUGGAUUGUAAACUUCUUUUAUACGGGAAUAAACGAAUCCACGCGUGGAUUUUUGCAUGUACCGUAUGAAUAAGGAUCGGCUAACUCCGUGCCAGCAGCCGCGGUAAUACGGAGGAUCCGAGCGUUAUCCGGAUUUAUUGGGUUUAAAGGGAGCGUAGAUGGGUUGUUAAGUCAGUUGUGAAAGUUUGCGGCUCAACCGUAAAAUUGCAAUUGAUACUGGCAGUCUUGAGUACAGUUGAGGUAGGCGGAAUUCGUGGUGUAGCGGUGAAAUGCUUAGAUAUCACGAAGAACUCCGAUUGCGAAGGCAGCUUACUAACCUGUAACUGACAUUGAUGCUCGAAAGUGUGGGUAUCAAACAGGAUUAGAUACCCUGGUAGUCCACACGGUAAACGAUGAAUACUCGCUGUAGGCGAUAUACAGUCUGCGGCCAAGCGAAAGCAUUAAGUAUUCCACCUGGGGAGUACGCCGGCAACGGUGAAACUCAAAGGAAUUGACGGGGGCCCGCACAAGCGGUGGAGCAUGUGGUUUAAUUCGAUGGUACGCGAGGAACCUUACCUGGGUUUGACAUGCACGGUGAUACCGGGGAGAUCCGGGGGUCCAGCAAUGGAACCGUGCACAGGUGCUGCAUGGCUGUCGUCAGCUCGUGCCGUGAGGUGUCGGCUUAAGUGCCAUAACGAGCGCAACCCUUGCCGAUAGUUACUAACAGGUCAUGCUGAGGACUCUGUCGGGACUGCCAUCGUAAGAUGUGAGGAAGGUGGGGAUGACGUCAAAUCAGCACGGCCCUUACGUCCGGGGCUACACACGUGUUACAAUGGGGGGUACAGAGGGCUGCUACCACGCAAGUGGAUGCCAAUCCCAAAAACCUCUCUCAGUUCGGAUUGAAGUCUGCAACCCGACUUCAUGAAGCUGGAUUCGCUAGUAAUCGCGCAUCAGCCACGGCGCGGUGAAUACGUUCCCGGGCCUUGUACACACCGCCCGUCAAGCCAUGGGAGCCGGGGGUACCUGAAGUGCGUAACCGCAAGGAGCGCCCUAGGGUAAAACUGGUGACUGGGGCU
rnacentral:rRNA from 1 species